rnacentral:rRNA from 1 species
GAUGAACGCUAGCUACAGGCUUAACACAUGCAAGUCGAGGGGCAGCACAGUGUAGCAAUACAUGGGUGGCGACCGGCGCACGGGUGAGUAACGCGUAUCCAACCUGCCCCCGUACUCGGGUAUAGCCCAGCGAAAGCUGGAUUAAUCCCCGAUGUCACCUUUAUGGUGCAUGCCAUAUUGGUUAAAGUUACUCGGUACGGGAUGGGGAUGCGUCUGAUUAGGUAGUAGGCGGGGUAACGGCCCACCUAGCCGACGAUCAGUAGGGGUUCUGAGAGGAAGGUCCCCCACACUGGAACUGAGACACGGUCCAGACUCCUACGGGAGGCAGCAGUGAGGAAUAUUGGUCAAUGGUCGGAAGACUGAACCAGCCAAGUAGCGUGAAGGAUGAAGGUUCCUAUGGAUUGUAAACUUCUUUUAUAUAGGAAUAAAACCUCCCACCGUGUGGGAGGCUUGUAUGUACUAUAUGAAUAAG